GCUGAGGGAACAACAGGUCCAGGUGGGCAGCGCUAUCCGGUGCCUACCUUUCUGUGGCGCCGGAAUCGGCUCGUCUGCAACCGUCCGCUUUGGUAGCUGCCAGCCACAUGGGGCUGUUGCUAGUGUGGCUGUCUCUGCGAUAUGAUACCAGCUAUUUUGUGGAGUAUUUUGCCUUGGAUCUCCUGAUGGAGAAUGGGGAGUGCCGUGGUGUCAUCGCACUGUGCAUAGAGGACGGCUCCAUCCAUCGCAUAAGAGCAAAGAACACUGUUGUUGCCACAGGAGGCUACGGGCGCACCUACUUCAGCUGCACGUCUGCCCACACCAGCACUGGCGAUGGCACGGCCAUGAUCACCAGGGCAGGCCUCCCUUGCCAGGACCUAGAGUUUGUUCAGUUCCACCCCACAGGCAUAUAUGGUGCUGGUUGUCUCAUUACGGAAGGAUGUCGUGGAGAGGGAGGCAUUCUCAUUAACAGUCAAGGUGAAAGGUUUAUGGAGCGAUACGCCCCCGUCGCGAAGGACCUGGCGUCUAGAGAUGUGGUGUCUCGUUCGAUGACUCUGG
rnacentral:sRNA from 1 species